AGAGAGAGGAACGCUAAUGGCUACAACUGAUGGCCAGGCAUCCCUGUUUCGCUUCUCCUAAAAUGAAGCCAGAUGGUUUACGGAUGGAUUUAUUUUUUGCUUCGUGCAGGGAGAGAGAUAGCAACCAGGGAAAGGAGACGGGAAGCUGCAGACGAUCCCAAAAACCAAGCCGGUAGCGGGGAACCGAGGAAAUCGUCGUUUCAAACAAGCAAAGUCAUGGAUUGCUUCAGCCACAGAAUAUUUCGUAUUUCCAGAUACACAUGCCUCAAUGUCUUCAGGACUCAGCUGUGUUUGUACGAAUAGAUGAAGUCUACUGUCUGAAAGCAAAAUUGGAUUCUGGAGUACCCUUUAAAAAAACAAAAAACAAAAAUUUCAUCUGCCUUCCAAGAACAUUUAUUCAAUAUUUUUUGCCUCAAAGUUAUUUUUAACUUCGUAUCCAUUGCAGUUUGAACACAGUAUAAAUGUUAGAAUGUUUGAGUAAGUGAUACUUACCUUUAUUAAAGUAUUUGGGAAUUUAGGUGAGUAAAAUAACAUGAAGCUAAUAGUUAUGAACAUCUGUUAUAUAAGUAAUUUUCAAGGACUUUUUUUUAUUUCCCCAUCUGUUGCUACCAUGUGAAUCGAUUACUAGUUUGGCUGGGGGUGGGGGGGAGAAUGUGUGCCUCAAUGUGUGGGAAAACUAACAUAGGAAAUGAUGCAUAAUCAGUAAUUCUGAAUAUGUAAUAAAACUUGCCUUAAAAGAAGGGCAUUAUAGAAUUUACAGAAAUUAGAUGCCUAUGUAAAACAAAUACUUAUUUUGUUUGUGUGUGUUACUUUCAAAAAGGCUGAUAAAACUAUUUCAGAUGAACGGCAAAAAGAAUCUUACUUCCGUUAAUUUUUAAAAGUGUUUUGACGCCAGCAUAUAAUCUUAAAAUGAGAAUGCUCAAUUCAGUAAAUAUUUAAAACAAUUUAAUACAACAUUAAAUAUAUCCAACUAUAUUUUUAUUAACAACAGAAUGGUCUUGCUUCCACUAUACCAUGUCAUAAAAUCUAUUUUUUCCAAUCUAGUUUUAUUCAACAUUAAAAUACAUUUCUAUUGGUUUAUUUAGUCCAGCAAAUACAACCCCCAAAAUAACAUUACUUCUAUAUUAAAAUUGUGGACGUUUA